rnacentral:rRNA from 1 species
UGGGGAAUAUUGCACAAUGGAGGGAACUCUGAUGCAGCGACGCCGCGUGAACGAAGAAGGCUUUCGAGUCGUAAAGUUCUUUUAUAUGGGAAGAUAAUGACGGUACCAUAAGAAAAAGCCCCGGCUAACUACGUGCAAGCAGCCGCGGUAAUACGUAGGGGGCUAGCGUUGUCCGGAAUCACUGGGCGUAAAGGGUUCGCAGGCGGAAAUGCAAGUCAGGUGUAAAAGGCAGUAGCUUAACUACUGUAAGCAUUUGAAACUGCAUAUCUUGAGAAGAGUAGGGGUAAGUGGAAUUUUUAGUGUAGCGGUGAAAUGCGUAGAUAUUAAAAAGAAUACCGGUGGCGAAGGCGGCUUACUGGGCUCAUUCUGACGCUGAGGAACGAAAGCGUGGGUAGCAAGCAGG